rnacentral:lncRNA from 1 species
CAGCUUCCAAGAGUUUCUCAAGUGCCUCAACCCAUCUUUCAACCCUCCUGAGAAGAAGUGAGCACCAAAGAGAUCUAAUGAGGAGGCACAGACCAGUGUCUGGAUCCCAGCAUCUUCUCCACUUCAGCGCUGAGUUCAGUAUACACAAGUGUCUGCUACAGUCGCCAAAUCACCAGUAUUUGCUUAUAUAGCAAUGAGUUUUAUUUUGUUUAUUUGUUUUGCAAUAAAGGAUAUGAAGGUGGCUGGCUAGGAAGGGAAGGGCCACAGCCUUCAUUUCUAGGAGUGCUUUAAGAGAAACUGUAAAUGGUGCUCUGGGGCUGGAGGCUAGUAAGGAAACUGCAUCACGAUUGAAAGAGGAACAGACCCAAAUCUGAACCUCUUUUGAGUUUACUGCAUCUGUCAGCAGGCUGCAGGGAGUGCACACGAUGCCAGAGAGAACUUAGCAGGGUGUCCCCGGAGGAGAGGUUUGGGAAGCUCCACGGAGAGGAACGCUCUCUGCUUCCAGCCUCUUUCCAUUGCCGUCAGCAUGACAGACCUCCAGCAUCCACGCAUCUCUUGGUCCCAAUAACUGCCUCUAGAUACAUAGCCAUACUGCUAGUUAACCCAGUGUCCCUCAGACUUGGAUGGAGUUUCUGGGAGGGUACACCCAAAUGAUGCAGAUACUUGUAUACUUUGAGCCCCUUAGCGACCUAACCAAAUUUUAAAAAUACUUUUUACCAAAGGUGCUAUUUCUCUGUAAAACACUUUUUUUUGGCAAGUUGACUUUAUUCUUCAAUUAUUAUCAUUAUAUUAUUGUUUUUUAAUAUU